rnacentral:rRNA from 1 species
UACGUAGGGGGCUAGCGUUGUCCGGAAUCAUUGGGCGUAAAGAGCGUGUAGGCGGUCCGGUAAGUCCGCUGUGAAAGUCGGGGGCUCAACCCUCGAAUGCCGGUGGAUACUGUCGGGCUAGAGUGCGGAAGAGGCGAGUGGAAUUCCUGGUGUAGCGGUGAAAUGCGCAGAUAUCAGGAGGAACACCGGUGGCGAAGGCGGCUCUCUAGUACGGUACUGACGCUGAGACGCGAAAGCGUGGGGAGCGAACAGG